rnacentral:rRNA from 1 species
CAGUAGCCGCGGGAACACGGAGGAUCCAAGCGUUAUCCGGAUUUAUUGGGUUUAAAGGGUGCGUAGGUGGCCUGUUAAGUCAGGGGUGAAAGACGGUAGCUUAACUACCGCAGUGCCUUUGAUACUGACGGGCUUGAAUACACUAGAGGUAGGCGGAAUGUGACAAGUAGCGGUGAAAUGCAUAGAUAUGUCACAGAACACCAAUUGCGAAGGCAGCUUACUAUGGUGUCAUUGACACUGAGGCACGAAAGCGUGGGGAUCAAACAGGAUUAGAUACCCCCGUAGUCCCUGUCUCUUAUAC